UCUACGGAGUGCAGCAGUGGGGAAUAUUGCACCAUGGGGGAAACCCUGAUGCAGCACCGCCGCGUGAAGGAAGACGGUUUUCGGAUUGUACACUUCUGUUCUUAGUGAAGAAGAAUGACGGUAGCUCAGGAGCAAGCCACGGCUAAAUACGUGCCAGCAGCCGCGGUAAUACGUAGGUGGCAUGCGUUGACCGGAAUUACUGGGUGUAAAGGGAGCGCAGGCGGGAAGCCAAGUCAGCUGUGAAAACUACGGGCUUAACUUGUAGACUGCAGUUGAAACUGGUUUUCUUGAGUGAAGUAGAGGUUGGCGGAAUGCCGAGUGUAGCGGUGAAAUGCGUAGAUAUUCGGAGGAACACCGGUGGCGAAGGCGGCCAACUGGGCUUUAACUGACGCUGAGGCUCGAAAGUGUGGGGAGCAAACAGGAUUAGAUACCCGUGUAGUC
rnacentral:rRNA from 1 species